UGUGGGGUAGCCCAAUUGGUAGAGCGGACGCCUGUUAAGCGUCUGGUUAUGGGUUCGAGUCCCAUCCCCACAG
rnacentral:tRNA from 1 species